CAAGAGCGUAUAUUAAAGUUGUUGCAGUUAAAAAGCUCGUAGUUGGAUUUCUGGUACAACGCGCCUGGCCCGCUUUAUGUGAGUGCUGGUGCGCGUUUGCCAUCCUUCUAGAAAACGUUUCUACCCUGGCAACGGGGCCGGACUCGCGAUCUAGAUCUUUUACUUUGAAAAAUUAGAGUGUUUAAAGCAGGCUUUUGCUGUGAAUACAUUAGCAUGGAAUAAUAAUCUAGGACUUCGGUUCUAUUUUGUUGGUUUCUAGUACUGAAGUAAUGAUUGAUAGGGAUAGUUGGGGGCGAUUAGUAUUUAAUUGUCAGAGGUGGAAUUCUCGGAUUUGUUAAAGACUAACUUAUGCGAAAGCAUUUGCCAAGGAUGUUUUCAUUAAUCAAGAACGAAAGUUAGGGGAUCAAAGAUGAUUAGAUACCGU
rnacentral:rRNA from 1 species